UGCACGGUGGCGCAGUUGGUAGCACUGUUGCCUUGCCUUGCAGCAAGAAGGUCCUGGGUUCAAUUCCCGGCCGCGGGUCUUUCUGCAU